rnacentral:rRNA from 1 species
AACGCGAAAGUCACCUUCGGGUGGUGAGUAGAGUGGCGGACGGGUGAGUAUAACGUGGGUAACAUGCCUCUGAAUGGGGAAUAACCCUUCGAAAGGAGGGCUAAUACCGCAUAAUAUUCAGACCACAUAAGUGGACUGGAUCAAAGGUGGCCUCUUCUUGAAAGCUAUCGUUUAGAGAUUGGCCCGCGCCCCAUUAGCUAGUUGGUGAGGUAACGGCUCACCAAGGCGACGAUGGGUAGCCGACCUGAGAGGGUGAUCGGCCACACUGGGACUGAGACACGGCCCAGACUCCUACGGGAGGCAGCAGUGAGGAAUUUUCCGCAAUGGGCGAAAGCCUGACGGAGCGACGCCGCGUGCGUGAUGAAGGCCUUCGGGUCGUAAAGCGCUGUCGGAAGGGACGAAUCCCUCCGGUGCUAAUACCACCGGGGACUGACGGUACCUUCCAAGGAAGCCCCGGCUAACUCCGUGCCGGCAGCCGCGGUAAUACGGGGGGGGCAAGCGUUGCUCGGAAUCAUUGGGCGUAAAGGGCUCGUAGGCGGCCUGCUAAGUCGGUUGUGAAAGCCCACGGCUUAACCGUGGAAUUGCGAUCGAUACUGGUUGGCUUGAGUGC